rnacentral:rRNA from 1 species
GAUGAACGCUGGCGGCGUGCCUAAUACAUGCAAGUCGAGCGAACAGACGAGGAGCUUGCUCCUCUGACGUUAGCGGCGGACGGGUGAGUAACACGUGGAUAACCUACCUAUAAGACUGGGAUAACUUCGGGAAACCGGAGCUAAUACCGGAUAAUAUAUUGAACCGCAUGGUUCAAUAGUGAAAGACGGUUUUGCUGUCACUUAUAGGUGGAUCCGCGCCGCAUUAGCUAGUUGGUAAGGUAACGGCUUACCAAGGCAACGAUGCGUAGCCGACCUGAGAGGGUGAUCGGCCACACUGGAGCUGAGACACGGUCCAGACUCCUACGGGAGGCAGCAGUAGGGAAUCUUCCGCAAUGGGCGAAAGCCUGACGGAGCAACGCCGCGUGAGUGAUGAAGGUCUUCGGAUCGUAAAACUCUGUUAUUAGGGAAGAACAAAUGUGUAAGUAACUAUGCACGUCUUGACGGUACCUAAUCAGAAAGCCACGGCUAACUACGUG